GGACUACCGGGGUAUCUAAUCCUGUUUGCUCCCCGCACUUUCGCGCCUCAGCGUCAGUCAUUGGCUAGAAGUUCGCCUUCGCCACCGGUGUUCUUCCUGAUAUCUACAGAUUUCACCCCUACACCAGGAAUUCCAACUCCCCCUCCAUGACUCUAGUUCUCCAGUUUCCAACGCAGUCCAUGAGUUAAGCUCAUGCCUUUCACGCCAGACUUGACGAACCGCCUACGCGCCCUUUACGCCCAAUAAUUCCGAACAACGCUCGCCCCUUACGUGUUACCGCGGCUGCUGGCAC
rnacentral:rRNA from 1 species